GAUGAACGCUGGCGGCGUGCCUAAUACAUGCAAGUCGAGCGAACGGACGAGAAGCUUGCUUCUCUGAUGUUAGCGGCGGACGGGUGAGUAACACGGGGGUAACCUACCUAUAAGACGGGGAUAACUUCGGGAAACCGUAGCUAAUACCGGAUAAUAUUUUGAACCGCAUGGUUCAAAAGUGAAAGACGGUCUUGCUGUCACUUCUAGAUGGAUCCGCGCUGCAUUAGCUAGUUGGUAAGGUAACGGCUUACCAAGGCAACGAUGCAUAGCCGACCUGAGAGGGUGAUCGGCCACACUGGAACUGGGACACGGUCCAGACUCCUACGGUAGGCAGCAGUAGGGAAUCUUCCGCAAUGGGCGGAAGCCUGACGGAGCAACGCCGCGUGAGUGAUGAAGGUCUUCGGAUCGUAAAACUCUGUUAUUAGGGAAGAACAUAUGUGUAAGUAACUGUGCACAUCGUGACGGUACCUAAUCAGAAAGCCACGGCUAACUACGUG
rnacentral:rRNA from 1 species